GGACUACCAGGGUAUCUAAUCCUGUUUGCUCCCCCAGCUUUCGAGUCUUAGCGUCAGUAAAGGCCCAGGCAGCUGCUUUCGCCAUAGGUGUUCCUCCCGAUCUCUACGCAUUUCACCGCUACACCGGGAAUUCCACUGCCCCCUACCCUACUCUAGACGCUCAGUAUCCAACGACAGUUCCCAGUUAAGCCGGGAGAUUUAACGUCGGACUUAAGCGCCCGCCUACACUCGCUUUACGCCUAGUAAUUCCGAAUAACGCUCGCCACCUAUGUCUUACCGCGGCGGCUGGCAC
rnacentral:rRNA from 1 species